rnacentral:lncRNA from 1 species
AGUGUGUCCACUAUCCUCUGUAGGGCUGUCUGUCAUAUACCAGUAUUAACUCAUGAAUUUCUAUGCCAGAAAAUUAUAUUUUCUUCUAAUAACCCAAAUCUUAGGAGAAAGAGAACUAUUCUUAAGAACAACAGAACACUACAGAAGAAUUUAACCAAUUCCAAAAAGUUUUCAAGUGGUUGGAAACUCUCAGCAACAUCUUACCAUCACCCAUUGCAUUCACAGUGCUGCCUUUGCCAAAAUCUCCUCCCAUAACUUAUUCCUGCAUGCAGACUUCAAGCCCUUCUUGGCUGCCCCAAUGGAGGUAAGAUGGCCAGUGAAGGCCUCUUCCAUUCUUGGUGUUACCUCAUAUCACAGUGACACCCUGCAGCAGCUCUCCUGAGUCACACAGCCAUGCAUGACCUUUGUGAGUCGGAUCAUCAGCCAGUAAUAUAUGCUAGGUCAUAACCCAACGACAUAUAAACCAAAACCAUCCUCCUCCUCCCACUACUUCUGUCAACUUGUACUAAUUUGAGUCCUUAUCUCUCUAAGCUUAAUUGGAACUGGCAGCAGCCUCAUGGUAAUGGAGCCUGAGAAGGCAGACGUCAUCUGUGCUGCAGCAGCACCACAAGUGAUGUGCGUCGUGACCGUGUCUACAAUUCUUGCAGCACACUGUGCAACUAUGGAAGAAAGUUCAUCUUUUCUAUGUGACAGAAACUCUAAAAUUCACAUCCCUUAGGAAAACCUUUAUUUCUAAGACUGAAAGAAGACUUUCAAAGACAUGAUGAAUGGCAAACAUCUACCUGCCACUGAGAACAGAUGGACUCAUCACCUACUCCCCUUUUGUGCUUUUGAGUACCUCUUUUAUGUAAGGUUUAUGACUCUGUAAUUUCAAAAGUAUUGGACCUUUUUUCAGAGUAGCCUUAUCAUUUGUCCAUGAUUAGGUAGUUUGUAUGUCUCUAUUGUAUCAUGUCCUAAAGCCAUCAAAGUUAUGAUGCUGACCAUCCAAUCAAACAAUAGGAUCCAAGAGUUCAAGCUAUCUGCUCUAGAGAAAUAAAGACAAAUAAAGAAAUGGCUUUCA